GAUGAACGCUGGCGGCGUGCCUAAUACAUGCAAGUCGAGCGAACAGACGAGGAGCUUGCUCCUCUGACGUUAGCGGCGGACGGGUGAGUAACACGUGGAUAACCUACCUAUAGGACUGGGAUAACUUCGGGAAACUGGAGCUAAUACCGGAUAAUAUAUUGAACCGCAUGGUUCAAUAGUGAAAGACGGUUUUGCUGUCACUUAUAGAUGGAUCCGCGCCGCAUUAGCUAGUUGGUAAGGUAACGGCUUACCAAGGCAACGAUGCGUAGCCGACCUGAGAGGGUGAUCGGCCACACUGGAACUGAGACACGGUCCAGACUCCUACGGGAGGCAGCAGUAGGGAAUCUUCCGCAAUGGGCGAAAGCCUGACGGAGCAACGCCGCGUGAGUGAUGAAGGUCUUCGGAUCGUAAAACUCUGUUAUUAGGGAAGAACAAAUGUGUAAGUAACUAUGCACGUCUUGACGGUACCUAAUCAGAAAGCCACGGCUAACUACGUG
rnacentral:rRNA from 1 species